rnacentral:rRNA from 1 species
GACGAACGCUGGCGGCGUGCCUAACACAUGCAAGUCAAGGAGAAUUCCCGACUUGUCGGGAUAGUAAACUGGCGAACGGGUGAGUAACACGUAGGUAAUCUGCCCUCGGGAUCGGGAUAACCUCGCGAAAGUGGGGAUAAUACCGAAUAAAGUCUCGGUAUAAUUUGUCGAGAUGAAAGAUGGGGAUCUUCGGACCUAUUACCUGAGGAUGAGCCUGCGCCUGAUUAGCUAGUUGGUAGGGUAAAUGCCUACCAAGGCAACGAUCAGUAGCUGGUCUGAGAGGAUGAUCAGCCACAUUGGGACUGAGAUACGGCCCAGACUCCUACGGGAGGCAGCAGUGAGGAAUUUUGCGCAAUGGGCGAAAGCCUGACGCAGCAACGCCGCGUGACUGAUUAAGCUCUGAGGAGUGUAAAAGUCUGUCGUAGAGGAAGAAACUAUCCGAUAAGAAUAUUGUCGGAUACUGACGGUACUCUAUGAGAAAGCUCGG